ACUCCUGCGGGAGGCAGCAGUGGGGAAUUUUGGACAAUGGGCGAAAGCCUGAUCCAGCAAUGCCGCGUGAGUGAAGAAGGCCUUCGGGUUGUAAAGCUCUUUUGUCAGGGAAGAAACGGUGAAAGCUAAUAUCUUUUGCUAAUGACGGUACCUGAAGAAUAAGCACCGGCUAACUACGUGCCAGCAGCCGCGGUAAUACGUAGGGUGCAAGCGUUAAUCGGAAUUACUGGGCGUAAAGCGUGCGCAGGCGGUUUUGUAAGUCUGAUGUGAAAUCCCCGGGCUCAACCUGGGAAUUGCAUUGGAGACUGCAAGGCUAGAAUCUGGCAGAGGGGGGUAGAAUUCCACGUGUAGCAGUGAAAUGCGUAGAUAUGUGGAGGAACACCGAUGGCGAAGGCAGCCCCCUGGGUCAAGAUUGACGCUCAUGCACGAAAGCGUGGGGAGCAAACAGGAUUAGAAACCCCAGUAGUCCCAUGAU
rnacentral:rRNA from 1 species